rnacentral:rRNA from 1 species
AUGAAACGCGAUCAUGAAAGAAAUAACUUGAAGAUGCACUUGAGGAAGCGCCCGAAGGUGUGCUCGAAGAUGCACUCGAGGAAGCGCCCGAAGGUGUGCUCGCAGAUGCACUCGAGGAAGCGCCCCAAGGUAUGCUCGCGGUCGUGGAUGCGCUCGCGGAUGCACUCGAAGACAUUGUUGUGUAUGGAGUUUGCAAGCUCUCUGGCUGCAGGGUGGAACUACCUGCAUACAUAUAUGAAAGGGGAAAGAAUGAUGCUCUAUCCUAUCAUGUUCCUUAUCAUUCCAUGCCUCGCAAAUAUCUAUACCAUGCAUUAA